UUUGAUGCCUGCGUUACUUUUUUUUUGUCUUGGGUGGGGCGGAAUAGGAGAGGAGGUGGGGAGCGAGGGGGCACGAGGUGUGGGCGUAGGGUGGCGGAGCGGUGGUCUGGUGGAGGGACGGGCGCGGCGGCGUGGUGGAAGGAGGGGGCGCGGCGGAUCGGCGGUAGAAGCGGGCGCGGCAGCGGGGUGGAGGAAGGGGGCGCGGCGGCGCCGCGGUAGGGCUGCUGGAGGAUGGAGGGUGGGGCGCAGCCGGGGAGGGACGCUACGCCGACUGGAGGAAGAAGGUUGGGCGUGGCGGCCUCGGGGCGGGAGCGGCGCGCAGCGGCCUCGGGAUGGGACGGUGGAUGGUGGUGCGAGGCGGAGGAGGGGACGUCGUGAAAGGGCACCGUGGCGGGGGAUGAAGAGGACCUACCGGUGGCGGGGGACGAGGCAACUGGUCUUGUUGGGGAGGAGGAGGGGUAGGUACCACCAGCAUGGUGGUGGCGCUGGAGAGGGCCACGGCCUAGGCUAGGCGGAGGUCGCAGCAGCAGGGGCACCCUAGGCCACCCCAGGCGGAGGUCGCAGCAGCAGGAGCACCCUAGGCCACCCUAGGCGGGGGCGGGGGAGGGGUAAGUGAUGGAGGGACGCCACGGCCCGUUGUGGCGGCGCGACGGUCCGGGGCGGGGGUAACGUGGUUACUCGCGUAGUCGGAGUUGGAGGCUGCUACCUAGGUCCGAGGGGGCCAGUCCAGCGCGGGGUUCAUGGGCGCGUCCACGGCGGCUCAAGAACCCAGCGGCGGGGAGCCAGGGGGAGAAGGUGGAGGGUAGGAGGCAGCGACCUCGUCGUGCCGGCACCCGCACGUCACGCGACGCUGAGGAGCACGUCCUAACGUCAAAGCAACACCACCGAUGUACGGUGUCACUAAAAAAUCAGUAAAACAUAAAGUGAGCGAACCCCACGUCGAGCGCCCGCGUAGGAUACGUCGCGCGACCCGGAUAGACCUCCAAGGUACCCGGAGGAGAGGGGUGACGUAGCGGGAAGGGCCGCCGGAUGACGUUUGUACCUUUCCACUUCACUACAUCAAGCCGACCUACCGGGCAAGGAGUUAAAACAAAAACAACUUUUGACGUGAAGUAAUCAAGUAACAUUUUUGACGUGAAGUAAUGGUGCUACCAAUCACUUUCACAUGGGGCAUCUUAAAACACACCAAGCCGGUCACCUCUCACGGCUAUACAUACCCACACACCGACACAUUUUGAUAGUCAUCAACACAUACGAAACAUCGAGUGAAACAAGAGAACGCAACAAGCGAUAUAUUGAAAAGGCACCAGGUGAACCGUUUGUGUUUUGUUCUUGUAGAGUUUCGUCGAGUGAGGAAUAAUCUACAUCAAGUG
rnacentral:rRNA from 1 species